AAUGAACGUUGGCGGCGUGGAUUAGGCAUGCAAGUCGAGCGAGAACCCCGCAAGGGGGGACAGCGGCGAAAGGGACAGUAAUGUGUAGAUUAUCUGCCCUCAGGUCCGGGAUAGCUGCGGGAAACUGCAGGUAAUACCGGAUAGCAUCUCCGGAUCAAAGGUGUGAUUCCGCCUGAGGAUGAGUCUGCAUCCUAUUAGCUAGUUGGUGGGGUAAUGGCCUACCAAGGCAUUGAUGGGUAGCAGGUGUGAGAGCACGACCUGCGUCAUUGGGACUGAGACACUGCCCAGACACCUACGGGUGGCUGCAGGCGAGAAUCUUCGGCAAUGGGCGCAAGCCUGACCGAGCGACGCCGCGUGUGGGAUGAAGGCCUUCGGGUUGUAAACCACUGUCAGAGGGGAUGAAAUGCAGGUGGGUGCUCCCAUCUGUUUGACAUAGCCUCAGAGGAAGGACGGGCUAAGUUCGUG
rnacentral:rRNA from 1 species